AUAAAAUCUUACGUUAGAAAUUAUCCCUGGAGGCUAAAAUUAAGAGCCUGAAGAAUAAGGCUCAUUUCACAAUAAACACUAUGGGUUAUUUUAUACUUCAAACCUGGAAUUGUGAGAGGCAAGUGGAGAAAGAGUAUUGGAGGAGGAAUAUUACUCUGAAGAUCUAUUGCUUCUUAUCAUGUAGGAGUUGAUCAGACUUUCAAAUACUGCUAUUUGAAUUUGUGUGACGUAACAGACAGCAAUACUUGUAUUCCUGUCUGAUAAAGUAAUUAGAAGACAAAACAAAUUCUAUAUUCCAGAGACUUUCUACUUUUUGACCUAUUGGUCAUUUAUUCAGACUAAACUGGUGUACAAAGGAGCAUAUUCAUAAUUCAAAAGGACCUAGAUUGGAAAAUUGUCUCUUUGUGCAGCACAAUUUACUUUUAUGUGUUUGGUAUACUCAACAAUUGAAUUGGGCAGGUGAAAAUUAAGGUAGCUCCAAAUUCCUCUUAAAAAUUAAAUCAGAUGUUUCCCUUACAAAAGACAAAGAUAUAUACACUUGUGAUAGAAAUGAUUUUAAUGUUAGGUCAUUUCUUCAAUAUUGACUUCUAUCCUGGUGGAACUGAAGCAUCUCUUUGUGGUAGAAAGAAUUCUUUCCAUUAAUGAUGAGGAGUACACUGUCAACACAGAGGCAGAAUAUCUUAUGCAAUAAAUGUAGAGAUAAUAUCUGGCAGACAUUGCUUUUGCAUUCUCUGUUUUAGUGUUUUAUUCCUAUGUACUAUAACCGGACAUUCAAAUGUAGCUAAGUAUUCAGACUUUCACUGUGGGGAAGGAAAGGCUCUGAAUGUCAACUUUCAGUUCAUUAGCACCUUUUCUUAAAUGUUAGUCAAUGGCUAUAAUUUAACAUUUACUUACAGUGAUAAACAAAAUGUUUAUCGGUUUAUUGAUAUGAUAAUUGCUUGUUGCCAGAAAAUAAUAUCAUUCUAACUAUAUAGCACAGACACAAACAACCUCAAUGUAUUGUUGUUUAAAGAUAGACAUUAUUAAAGUUAGUAACUUAGUAAUUCAUGCCAUUAUUUACUAUAAACCAAAUCUGAUUCAUAAGAGGGAAAAAAGGAAAUUUAGAUAGGUAAGACAAAAAUUUUAGUACUUAAAAUAAUUUACACUGACAUUGUUUGCUUUUCAAAAAUAUGUAAUUGAUAAUCUUUACUUACAUAUUUAUUUUGUCCAUGAAUCUAUAGAGUAAAAUGUUAAUUGGUUAGCAAAAACAGUAGCACAUCAAUAAAUCUUUGUCUUUAUAAUAAUAUGCCUUUUGUAUUCCAUGAAUUAAUUUUGUAAAUACUUAUAUUCACACAGUUUAUAACUACCAUAGCCUUUUAUGCCCAUGGAGCCCACUAUGCUUAAUCAAAAUCUGUAAGCCAGAUUUCUCCCACAGUUUCUGUGGAGUUCCCUGUACCUAUCUGUAGGAUGGCUUUGGGUCAUGAGCUUUUGGUAUCAUGAUAGCAGUAGGGGGACUUGUCUAGAUAUAUGAUAAGAUACAUUGCAUUAAUGUGCUCCUGUGAUGUCUUGGGUAGAUGCAAUCUUAUUUUACAAAGUGUCACAUAUUUUGUUAGAGCUUUUCAUUGAUUUACAUUUUACAAGGUCUAUGAAUAUACAAAGAUUCUAUUUAACAAAUGUUUAUUAAGUGUUUACUCUGUGAAGACAGAACAUGGCUAGAGAAAGUUUAAGAAAGAUGUGACAUGGUAUUUGUCCUCAGGAUGCUCUCAGUCUGGUAUUAAAUGUAUGACAGCCACAUUAUUUUGGUGAGUAUAAUUUAAAAUGGCUAAAAAGUUUGCUGAAAUCAGCCAUUAUCAAUAUCUUGUAUAUGCCAGGGUAUUAAAGAAAUUGAUUAAAAUUA